GGACGCGAGUUCUAUCGGGUAAAG
rnacentral:snRNA from 1 species